AUUGAACGCUGGCGGCAUGCCUUACACAUGCAAGUCGAACGGUAACAGGUCUUCGGAUGCUGACGAGUGGCGAACGGGUGAGUAAUACAUCGGAACGUGCCUAGUAGUGGGGGAUAACUACUCGAAAGAGUGGCUAAUACCGCAUGAGAUCUACGGAUGAAAGCAGGGGAUCGCAAGACCUUGUGCUACUAGAGCGGCCGAUGGCAGAUUAGGUAGUUGGUGGGAUAAAUGCUUACCAAGCCGACGAUCUGUAGCUGGUCUGAGAGGACGAUCAGCCACACUGGGACGGAGACACGGCCCAGACUCCUACGGGAGGCAGCAGUGGGGAAUUUUGGACAAUGGGCGCAAGCCUGAUCCAGCAAUGCCGCGUGCAGGAUGAAGGCCUUCGGGUUGUAAACUGCUUUUGUACGGAACGAAAAGCCCUGGGUUAAUACCCUGGGGUCAUGACGGUACCGUAAGAAUAAGCACCGGCUAACUACGUGCCAGCCGCCGCCGUAAUAC
rnacentral:rRNA from 1 species